rnacentral:rRNA from 1 species
GACGAACGCUGGCGGCGUGCUUAACACAUGCAAGUGGAGCGACGAACCAGGCUUCGGCCUGGGGCAAAGCCGCGAACGGGUGAGUAACACGUGGGUAACCUGCCCUGAUGACCGGGACAACCCGAGGAAACUCGGGCUAAUACCGGAUGUGCUCCCACCACACCAGUGGUGUGAGUAAAGGUAGCUUCGGCCUCCGCAUCGGGAUGGGCCCGCGGCGCAUUAGCUUGUUGGUGGGGUAAAGGCCACCAAGGCAACGAUGCGUAGCUGGUCUGAGAGGACGAUCAGCCACACUGGGACUGAGACACGGCCAGACUCCUACGGGAGCAGCAGUGGGAAUCUUGCGCAAUGCGCGAAAGCGUGACGCAGCAACGCCGCGUGAGUGAAGAAGGCCUGG